UUACGAAAAUGGAACAUUAAGGUGGAAAGAAAAAAGCAAAUCUUGCUAUUGAAGUUUUCUGAAUACCAGCGAGUUAUUGAUAGUAUUAUAACUACAAUGAGAAGCCAUGUAACUGAAUUGGAACACGUAUAUUCAUUCGGGUUCAACAGGAAUCUUUCUAUUGCCUUGAACAUUCAAGGUCAGAAACACAAUCCUUGAUGGAUAAAUCAUAUAAAAAUAUAUAAUCAACUGUAUUAACUUACAUAGUCUAAUAUAGCGUAAUGGAAGGUUGACAAUAAAUAACAUAUAACGAAAUACG